rnacentral:rRNA from 1 species
AACGAACGCUGGCGGCAUGCCUAACACAUGCAAGUCGAACGAGACCUUCGGGUCUAGUGGCGCACGGGUGCGUAACACGUGGGAAUUUGCCUCGGGGUAUGGAAUAACUCAGGGAAACUUGAGCUAAUACCAUAUAAUGUCUUCGGACCAAAGAUUUAUCGCCCUGAGAUAAGCCCGCGUAGGAUUAGCUAGUUGGUGGGGUAAAGGCUCACCAAGGCGACGAUCCUUAGCUGGUCUGAGAGGAUGAUCAGCCACACUGGGACUGAGACACGGCCCAGACUCCUACGGAGGCAGCAGUGGGGAAUAUUGGACAAUGGGCGAAAGCCUGAUCCAGCAAUGCCGCGUGAGUGAUGAAGGCCUCGG